rnacentral:rRNA from 1 species
GAUGAACGCUGGCGGCGUGCCUAACACAUGCAAGUCGAGCGAUCUUCUUCGGAAGAGAGCGGCGGACGGGUGAGUAACGCGUGGGUAACCUGCCUCAUACACAUGGAUAACAUACCGAAAGGUAUGCUAAUACAGGAUGACAUAGGAGAUUCGCAUGAAUUUCUUAUCAAAGCUCCGGCGGUAUGAGAUGGACCCGCGUCUGAUUAGCUAGUUGGUAAGGUAACGGCUUACUAAGGCGACGAUCAGUAGCCGACCUGAGAGGAUGAUCGGCAAAAAUGGAUCUAAGACACGGUCCAAAAUCCUACGGGAGGCAACAGUGGGGGAUAUUGCACAAUGGGUGAUAGCCUGAUGCAGCAACGCCGCGUGAGCGAUGAAGGAUUUCGUGUCGUAAAGCUCUGUCCUCAAGGAAGAUAAUGACGGUACUUGAGGAGCAAGCCCCGGCUAACUACGUGCCAGCCGCCGCGGUAACAC